rnacentral:rRNA from 1 species
CCAAUAGCGUAUAUUAAAGUUGUUGCAGUUAAAAAGCUCGUAGUUGAAUUUCGGAAUCAGUAUGUUGGUCGUGCUUCGGUACGUACUGUCAUUUCUGGUUUCUCCCUUCUGAAGAACCAUGAUGUCAUUAAUUUGGUGUCAUGGGGAAUCAGGACUGUUACUUUGAAAAAAUUAGAGUGUUUAAAGCAGGCACACGCUUGAAUACAUUAGCAUGGAAUAAUGAAAUAGGACGUUUGAUUCUAUUUUGUUGGUUUCUAGGAUCGACGUAAUGAUUAAUAGGGAUAGUUGGGGGCAUUAGUAUUCAAUUGUCAGAGGUGAAAUUCUUGGAUUUAUUGAAGACUAACUACUGCGAAAGCAUUUGCCAAGGAUGUUUUCAUUAAUCAAGAACGAAAGUUAGGGGAUCGAAGACGAUCAGAUACCGUCGUAGUCUUAACCAUAAACUAUGCCGACUAGGGAUCGGAUGAUGUUAUUUUUGAUGACUCAUUCGGCGCCUUACG